rnacentral:rRNA from 1 species
CACGUUUUCCGCGCCGUAGCUAACGCAUUAAGUGCCCCGCCUGGGGAGUACGGCCGCAAGGCUAAAACUCAAAGGAAUUGACGGGGGCCCGCACAAGCGGCGGAGCAUGCGGAUUAAUUCGAUGCAACGCGAAGAACCUUACCAAGGCUUGACAUGAACCGGAAUGAUGCAGAGAUGUGUCAGCCACUUGUGGCCGGUUUACAGGUGGUGCAUGGUUGUCGUCAGCUCGUGUCGUGAGAUGUUGGGUUAAGUCCCGCAACGAGCGCAACCCUCGUUCCAUGUUGCCAGCGGGUUAUGCCGGGGACUCAUGGGAGACUGCCGGGGUCAACUCGGAGGAAGGUGGGGACGACGUCAAAUCAUCAUGCCCCUUAUGUCUUGGGCUUCACGCGUGCUACAAUGGCCGGUACAAAGGGUUGCGAUGCUGUGAGGUGGAGCUAAUCCCAAAAAGCCGGUCUCAGUUCGGAUUGAGGUCUGCAACUCGACCUCAUGAAGUUGGAGUCGCUAGUAAUCGCAGAUCAGCAACG